GUGAAUCAUCAAAUCUUUGAACGCAAAUUGCACUCCCUGGUAUUCCGGGGAGUAUGCCUGUUUGAGGGUCGUUAGAAGCAAAAUCGAAGCAUCGUUCUUUUUUUUGAGGGUGAUCGCGUCGGAAUUGUGCCGCCUUUCAAAUGUUAAUUCAUGUAAAAGUGGCUUAUAAUUCAUCUAUCCGGUACGAUUAAAGCGUAUUUUAGAUCAAUUUUGUUCCAGAACGUGCGAUGACG
rnacentral:misc_RNA from 1 species